GGAGGAGAUCGAUUUUAAGAUGCCCGGCGAAAGGUCAUUGUUUAUCCAAUUCCUAUUUUGUGCUUAGUACUACAGUAGGCUUGGAUUGCUCUCCACACUUUGAAGCAAGCAGUUAGGAUCUGGAAUUCAAUGCAUGAGUGUGGAGGAGACAGACUGAAUCGCUGCUUUCAAGAAGACAAUCUGAAGAUAAAAGUAUGUGCAAGGGGACAUAGAAAAAUAGUUAGGCCUUAGCACUGAAUUGCUCUUGAAAAGACCCAAUAAGGACAUGAAAGGCUAAAAGACAAUCUUUUUUGCUCUAAAAUUUUGAUUAUUCCAAGUGUAUAUUCUUUAAAUAAAAGGUGAAUAUUGGUUUUGGUCUAAAAUCCCCAUGAAACCUCAAAACUUUUAAAUUUAUAUUUUGUUUCAUUAAAAUUGUACAGUAUAAGCUGACAUUUUCUGUAGAAGAACCAACAUAGUUUUGUUAAAGGGAGGUUAUGUCUGACCAAGUUGAUUCAAUAUUUUUAAAGAUGUAACAAGCUGUGGAGAUGAGAGCAAUGCAUUUGACACAGUUUACUUGGACAUCAGAGAGA